UACGUAGGGGGCAAGCGUUGUCCGGAUUUAUUGGGCGUAAAGAGCGUGUAGGCGGCCUGACAAGUCUGCUGUGAAAACUCGAAGCUCAACCUCGAGAUGUCGGCGGAAACUGUCUGGCUAGAGUCCGGAAGAGGAGAGUGGAAUUCCUGGUGUAGCGGUGAAAUGCGCAGAUAUCAGGAAGAACACCUAUGGCGAAGGCAGCUCUCUGGGACGGUACUGACGCUGAAACGCGAAAAGCGUGGGGAGCGAACAGG
rnacentral:rRNA from 1 species